AUCCAGCUGACGAGUCUCGGAAUAGGACGAAACGCUCGUCUUGGAU
rnacentral:hammerhead_ribozyme from 1 species